rnacentral:rRNA from 1 species
ACGGAGGGUGCAAGCGUUAAUCGGAAUUACUGGGCGUAAAGCGUUCGUAGCUGGCUUGUUAAGUCUCUGGGGAAAUCUUCCGGCUCAACCGGAAGGCGUCUCAGGGAUACUGGCAGGCUAGGGACCGGAAGAGGUGAGAGGUACUCCAGGGGUAGGAGUGAAAUCCUGUAAUCCUUGGGGGACCACCUGUGGCGAAGGCGUCUCACCAGGACGGCUCCGACAGUGAGGAACGAAAGCUGGGGGAGCAAACCG